AUAGCGGAGGAAAGAAACUAACAAGGAUUCCCCUAGUAACUGCGAGUGAAGCGGGAAAAGCUCAAAUUUGAAAUCUGGCGGUCUUUGGCCGUCCGAGUUGUAAUCUAGAGAAGUGUUACCCGCGCUGGACCGUGUACAAGUCUCCUGGAAUGGAGCGUCAUAGAGGGUGAGAAUCCCGUCUCUGACACGGACUACCAGGGCUUUGUGGUAUGCUCUCAAAGAGUCGAGUUGUUUGGGAAUGCAGCUCAAAAUGGGUGGUAAAUUCCAUCUAAAGCUAAAUAUUGGCGAGAGACCGAUAGCGAACAAGUACCGUGAGGGAAAGAUGAAAAGAACUUUGGAAAGAGAGUUAAACAGUACGUGAAAUUGCUGAAAGGGAAACGCUUGAAGUCAGUCACAUUGACUAGGGAUCAGCCUUGCAUUUGCAUGGUGUACUUUCUGGUUGAUGGGUCAGCAUCAAUUUUGACCGCUGGAAAAAGGCUUGGGGAAUGUGACAGCUCUGGCUGUGUUAUAGACCCUUGUCAUAUACAGCGGUUGGGAUUGAGGUAUUCAGCACGCCGCAAGGCCGGGUUUUGACCACGUUCGUGCUUAGGAUGCUGGCAUAAUGGCUUUAAGCGACCCGUCUUGAAACACGGACCAAGGAGUCUAACAUGCCUGCGAGUGUUUGGGUGGAAAACCCAAGCGCGUAAUGAAAGUGAAAGUUGAGAUCCCUGUCGUGGGGAGCAUCGACGCCCGGACCAGAACUUUUGGGACGGAUCUGCGGUAGAGCAUGUAUGUUGGGACCCGAAAGAUGGUGAACUAUGCCUGAAUAGGGUGAAGCCAGAGGAAACUCUGGUGGAGGCUCGUAGCGAUUCUGACGUGCAAAUCGAUCGUCAAAUUUGGGUAUAGGGGCGAAAGACAAUCGACAU
rnacentral:rRNA from 1 species